rnacentral:rRNA from 1 species
UAACGCGUAGGAAUCUGCCAAAUAGCGGGGGAUAGCCCGGAGAAAUCCGGAUUAAUACCGCAUAAGCCCUACGGGGGAAAAGGGGCCUCUUCUUGAAAGCUCUUGCUAUUAGAUGAGCCUGCGUAAGAUUAGCUUGUUGGUGAGGUAAAAGCUCACCAAGGCGACGAUCUUUAGCUGGUCUGAGAGGAUGAUCAGCCACACUGGGACUGAGACACGGCCCAGACUCC